GGGGUUAGGAUAUGAAGUUAAUCACUUAUUAGUGACUACCCUCUACCAAAAUGACUACAUGCAAGCAGUCCUGCCUGGAGGAAGUUAAGGACAAAGAGAAAGGAAAAUAAGUAAAACCUACAUGAUUUUUGUAACAUAGGCUUGGUCACAUUGCUAUAUUUCAUCUAAGUGAUGGCUAUACAGUUUUUCUCUGCUUGUCACAUUUAACAGAGAUAUAAAAGUUCUUGCUAAAAGGCUAGUCUUGUAGAGUACGUCAUGAAGGCUCAUCAUGAAUACAUCAUGAAAGCCCACUUGGGAAGAAAUCGGAGCAAGACAACUGGCGAGGCAAAAAGAACAAGCAGGGGCAGACAUGGAAAUCCACCUAGUCUGUUUUAAAGAGCCCCUGGGCAGGCAACUUCUGAGGAGGACGCUGUCAGCAGAAGUGCCAUCAUAUAAACACUACACCUUCAAAAAAGUUUCCUGACCCUAUUGUCCCCUCUGUGUCCUCCUCAUUUCAGUUAACAUGGCCUGUUAAAAAAUCUUGUCACCAUU
ensembl:lncRNA novel transcript